AUUGAACGCUGGCGGCAGGCCUAACACAUGCAAGUCGAACGAGUGGCGGACGGGUGAGUAAUGUCUGGGAAACUGCCUGAUGGAGGGGGAUAACUACUGGAAACGGUAGCUAAUACCGCAUACCAUCAGAUGUGCCCAGAUGGGAUUAGCUAGUAGGUGGGGUAACGGCUCACCUAGGCGACGAUCCCUAGCUGGUCUGAGAGGAUGACCAUCCACACUGGAAAUGAGAAACGGUACAGACUCCUACGGGAGGCAGCAGUGGGGAAUAUUGCACAAUGGGCGCAAGCCUGAUGCAGCCAUGCCGCGUGUAUGAAGAAGGCCUUCGGGUUGUAAAGUACUUUCAGCGGGGAGGCGUUACCCGCAGAAGAAGCACCGGCUAACUACGUGCCAGCCGCCGCGGUAAUUC
rnacentral:rRNA from 1 species